CCUUCCCUCUCCUGAGCCCUCAGGAAUAAAACCACUCGUGAGUCACCUGCCUUUGGUGGAAGUCUUUCAUUUCUUCAGCUAUCUGGCACCUGAGGACCUGACCCUGUAGCAUUCCAGAGUGGUCACAGGACCCCAGGGCCUCACCCUAGGAACUACUGACCUCACAGCCUCACCUUUGUGCUUGGGAAGAUCGUGGAACAGAUCCUCUUAGAAGCUGUGCAUGCCUUCAUCAGGGGCAAGUCCUGCCUGACCAAAUCAAUAGCCUUCUAUGAUGGAGUGACUACAGCAGUGGACAAGGGAAUGGAUACUGCUGUUGUUUAUCUAGACUUCUGUAAAGCCUUUGAGAGAGUCCUUCACAGCAUCUUUCUCUAAAUUAGAGAGAGUGAUUUGGUGGUUAGGCUGGUAGAGAAAAUAAAAGAAAAGGAGAAAAUUUCAUAUCCUUUUGAGGUGAAUGUUACAAUUGCGACAACAAGGCAAGCAUUUCCUUCAAGCACCUACCACUUCAAGCUAACUUUCUAACAAAACAUCUACUUUCACACAAAAGUGACACUAAACUACUAAACUUCAUGAACAACUGUUUACUUCUGAACCAAAAGCCACAAAGCAACAAACAGCAGAUCCCAGCAACAGAUAUACAAGAAGAUUUCAUAUUGCAGUGAUUACAUACAGCACUGUGUACUUGGGGAUCCUUUGAGGACUGCUAGGAAGAGGCAGGAUCCACCUGGCCAAGAAGGAACAAAGCAAUUUUUCCAACAGGCCCACUCACACAGGGAGGACAGCUUUCAAGUAGGAAGGAUACAGGUUGGGAAUUAUGUUUUGUUUCUUAAGCACUGACUUCUACACAAUGGAAACACAAAGUAAAAUCAAAAUGGUUGUGUGGUGAUCCUCAAGACAAGUUUGAUUAAGAGUAAUGGAGAAAUAAAUUAAACAUACAGGGGCUCUUGUUCUGUGGACCAAGAAAAGGAGUUUGAGUUGUGGUACCCACACAGACACUUCCUCAUGCCCCUGCCCACCUUGGGAUGGAGAUGAUGAGUAACAAUGAGGAAAUUCUUGGGCUGAGAUAAAGACAAUUCAAGAAGUGAAAGAAAAGGGGGAAAAAACAAACAAGAACGAAAUUAUGCAAACGUAAUAAAUCACUGC